rnacentral:rRNA from 1 species
AGCGAACGCUGGCGGCAGGCUUAACACAUGCAAGUCGAACGCCCCGCAAAGGGAGUGGCAGACGGGUGAGUAACACGUGGGAACGUACCCUUUGGUUCGGAAUAACUUGGGGAAACUCGAGCUAAUACCGGAUAAGCCCUUAUGGGGAAAGGUUUACUGCCGAAGGAUCGGCCCGCGUCUGAUUAGCUAGUUGGUGAGGUAAUGGCUCACCAAGGCGACGAUCAGUAGCUGGUCUGAGAGGAUGAUCAGCCACACUGGGACUGAGACACGGCCCAGACUCCUACGGGAGGCAGCAGUGGGGAAUAUUGGACAAUGGGGGCAACCCUGAUCCAGCCAUGCCGCGUGAGUGAUGAAGGCCUUAGGGUUGUAAAGCUCUUUUACCCGGGACGAUAAUGACUGAACCGGGAGAAUAAGCCCCGGCUAACUUCGUGCCAGCAGCCGCCGUAA